rnacentral:rRNA from 1 species
GGAAUUUUCCCCAAUGGGCGCAAGCCUGAGGGAGCAACGCCGCGUGGGGGAAGAAGCGUUUCGGCGUGUAAACCCCUUUUCCACGGGACGAAGGAAGUGACGGUACCGUGGGAAGAAGGCCCGGCUAACUACGGGCCAGCAGCCGCGGUAAUACGUAGGGGCCAAGCGUUGUCCGGAGUUACUGGGCGUAAAGGGCGCGCAGGCAGUGGGUUACGUCGUGUGUGAAAGUUUCCGGCUCAACCGGAGAAGGUCGCGCGAAACGGGCUCACUGGAGGCAGGGCGAGGGCGGUGGAAUUCCCGGUGUAGUGGUGAAAUGCGUAGAGAUCGGGAGGAACACCAGAGGCGAAGGCGGCCGCCUGGACCUGACCUGACGCUGAGGCGCGAAGGCGUGGGGAGCGAAC